CUUUCGAUACGGGUGACUUUGAGGAAGGUAGGGGAGAAUGGAAUUCCUGGUGGAGCGGUGGAAUGCGCAGAUAUCAGGAGGAACACCAGUGGCGAAGGCGGUUCUCUGGGCCUUUCCUGACGCUGAGGAGCGAAAGCGUGGGGAGCGAACAGGCUUAGAUACCCUGGUAGUCCACGCUGUAAACGGUGGGUACUAGGUGUGGGGUCCAUUCCACGGGUUCCGUGCCGUAGCUAACGCUUUAAGUACCCCGCCUGGGGAGUACGGCCGCAAGGCUAAAACUCAGAGGAAUUGACGGGGCCCCGCACAAGCGGCGGAGCAUGCGGAUUAAUUCGAUGCAACGCGUAGAACCUUACCUGGGUUUGACAUGGAUCGGGAGUGCUCAGAGAUGGGUGUGCCUCUUUUGGGGUCGGUUCACAGGUGGUGCAUGGCUGUCGUCAGCUCGUGUCGUGAGAUGUUGGGUUAAGUCCCGCAACGAGCGCAACCCUUGUUCACUGUUGCCAGCACGUUAUGGUGGGGACUCAGUGGAGACCGCCGGGGUCAACUCGGAGGAAGGUGGGGAUGACGUCAAGUCAUCAUGCCCCUUAUGUCCAGGGCUUCACGCAUGCUACAAUGGCUGGUACAGAGAGUGGCGAGCCUGUGAGGGUGAGCGAAUCUCGGAAAGCCGGUCUCAGUUCGGAUUGGGGUCUGCAACUCGACCUCAUGAAGUCGGAGUCGCUAGUAAUCGCAGAUCAGCAACGCUGCGGUGAAUACGUUCCCGGGGCUUGUACACACCGCCCGUCAAGUCAUGAAAGUUGGUAACACCCGAAGCCGGUGGCCUAACCGAUGUGGGGGAGCCGUCGAAGGUGGGACUGGUGAUUAGGACUAAAU
rnacentral:rRNA from 1 species